rnacentral:rRNA from 1 species
UACGGAGGGUGCAAGCGUUAUCCGGAUUUACUGGGUUUAAAGGGUGUGUAGGCGGAUUAUUAAGUCAGUGGUGAAAUCCCGAGGCUCAACCUCGGAACUGCCAUUGAUACUAUUAGUCUUGAAUGUUGUGGAGGUGGGCGGAACGGGUCAUGUAGCGGUGAAAUGCAUAGAUAUGUCACAGAACACCAAUUGCGAAGGCAGCUUACUAAAGUAUGAUUGACGCUGAGGCACGAAAGCGUGGGGAUCAAACAGG